CGAUGCCUCUAGCCGAUCUGAUUGGGUAUUUUGCCUGGUAGGGAGCUUCCCGGAAACGAAAGUCUUUCGGUUCCUGGGGUAGUAUGGUUGCAAAGCUGAAACUUAAAGAAAUUGACGGAAGGGCACCACCAGGAGUGGAGCCUGCGGCUUAAUUUGACUCAACACGGGAAAACUCACCCGGCCCGGACACUGUUAGGAUUGACAGAUUGAAAGCUCUUUCUCGAUUCGGUGGUUGGUGGUGCAUGGCCGUUCUUAGUUGGUGGAGCGAUUUGUCUGGUUUAUUCCGAUAACGAGCGAGACUCUAGCCUGCUAAAUAGUGUGCAGAUACCAUAGGUCUGUACUUACUUCUUAGAGGGAUAAGCGGCGUUAUAGCCGCACGAGAUUGAGCGAUAACAGGUCUGUGAUGCCCUUAGAUGUCCGGGGCUGCACGCGCGCUACACUGGAAGAAUCAGCGGGCUCUUCCAUCCUCGAAAGGGGUUGGUAAACCGUUGAAACUCUUCCGUGACCGGGAUAGGGAAUUGUAAUUAUUUCCCUGAACGAGGAAUUCCUAGUAAGUGGAGUCACACCUCCACGG
rnacentral:rRNA from 1 species